rnacentral:rRNA from 1 species
CUGGCUCAGGAUGAACGCUGGCGGCGUAGCUUAACACGAUGCAAGUCGAACGGAGUUUUAACGGAAGUUUCGGAUGGAAGUUUAGAAACUUAGUGGCGGACGGGUGAGUAACGCGUGGGUAACCUGCCUACAUACAGGGGGAUAACAGUUAGAAAUGACUGCUAACACCGCAUAAUAUAGCGAAACCGCAUGAUUUUGCUAUCAAAUAUUUAUAGGUAUGAGAUGGGCCCGCGUCUGAUUAGCUAGUUGGUGGGGUAAAAGCCUACCAAGGCGACGAUCAGUAGCCGGCUUGAGAGAGUGACCGGCCACAUUGGGACUGAGACACGGCCCAAACUCCUACGGGAGGCAGCAGUGGGGAAUAUUGGACAAUGGGGGAAACCCUGAUCCAGCGACGCCCGCGUGAGUGAAGAAGUAUUUCGGUAUGUAAAGCUCUAUCAGCAGGGAAGAUAAUGACAGUACCUGACUAAGAAGCCCCGGCUAACUACGUGCCAGCAGCAGC